GCCUCUCGGCGGACAGGCCGCUCGGUACCGGGAAGGAGUGGCAACGCUUCAAGAUGCGCUGCCUGACUAUACCCAUGCUGCUUCGGGCCCUGGCACAGGCUGCACACACAGGGCAUCCCCGUGGCCGGAGUCUGCACAGCAGCGCAGUGGCGGCCACUUACAGUGAGUCCCAGGGCACCUGGAGCCUCAGGCUUUUCUGAUCAUGGU